rfam:Gossypium arboreum cultivar AKA8401 contig_344_11, whole genome shotgun sequence.
GUCGUAGUAGUAUAGUGGUGAGUAUUCCCGCCUGUCAGGUGGGUGAUCCGGCUUCAAUCUCCGGCAACGGCG